rnacentral:piRNA from 1 species
UGGGUCUUUGAGGAUAUCCCCCCC